UGCACUUAACUGAUCCAGAGGAUUGCUACA
rnacentral:piRNA from 1 species